rnacentral:rRNA from 1 species
UACGUAGGGAGCAAGCGUUGUCCGGAAUCAUUGGGCGUAAAGCGCGUGUAGGCGGCCUCAUAAGUCCGUUGUGAAAGUCAAAGGCUCAACCUUUGAAAGCCGAUGGAUACUGUGAGGCUAGAGUCCGGAAGAGGCGAGUGGAAUUCCUGGUGUAGCGGUGGAAUGCGCAGAUAUCAGGAGGAACACCAAUGGCGAAGGCAGCACUCUGGGACGUGACUGACGCUGAGACGCGAAAGCGUGGGGAGCAAACAGG